rnacentral:tRNA from 2 species
GCAGUCAUGGCCGAGUGGUUAAGGCAAUGGACUAUAUGGGGUCUCCCCGCACAGGUUCUAAUCCUGUCGACUGCG